rnacentral:lncRNA from 1 species
AUUAUCACAUUCGUACAAUCUUUUAAUUCAGAAAUCAAGUGUUCUAUUGUUUGUGUUGUUUAUUCAUUUUAUUCAUCAAGAUUCUGGGCAACAGUAGUAUCAAAGCCAAAGGCUCGAAUCCUUUGAUUCAAAUUCAUUUGGGGAGGCUGAUCAUAUGGAGGGUGUUCAAUAUCUAUCGUGUCUCGAUCCGAUCAUCACUAAGGGUGUUUGGAUUCUGGUUGUUUAAUUCCGAUCACGCAAGAGGGGGCGAUUGGGUUCAUCGCAAGAAACCGAAGUUCAAAGACAAGGAUCUUCUACAAAAAGUUUUCAUUCCCUUGGAGAAUGAAGAUGCUACAACGUAAAGAUGUUGAAGGCAUGGAUUAAGAAACUAGGGGGAAUAUUGUAUUUUAGUUCCUCAUUCCAUGCCAUGCGGAUCAUAGUUAGUGAGCCGAUUAUGUAAAUAGGUUAAAGUAUGUUUUAGUGUCAUAUGUAACUGUAUAAUUAUCUAGGGAAUGAUUGUGUCAAAUUAGAACCUAUAACCUAAGAAGAGUGGGAUGCAACUUUCACAGGCAACACGUCGUUCAACAAGGGCGCCAAAAUAAUCAAAAGACACAACGAUUCAGUGGGGUGUGUCGAUUCCAAGGAGUUGUGUUGUUUGGAUGUUGGUUCGGUUAGUAUAUAUAGGUUAAUGUAUUUUCAAUUGUAGUAUAACAUUCAUAAAUCUUUCAAUUAAGAAAUCAUGUGUUCU